rnacentral:pre_miRNA from 1 species
AAUUUCAAUUGAAAAAGUCAUUAACAACAAAAUUGUAUAACUCAUCAAGAUCUAAAACUUUAUUUUUAUCAUUUCUUCAUCCGACAAAGUAUUACUAAUAUUGUUUACAAAUUUUACAUAUAUGUGUUAUAGUUUAUAAAACCAGAUAAGAGAUACGUCAAUUUUAUGAACAAUGUUAAUAUCACUUUGUCGGAUGAAGAAAUGAUCAAAAUAAAAGUUUUAGAUCUUGAUGAGUUAUUCAACUUUGUUGUUGAUAACUUUUUGUUGUUGAUAAC